rnacentral:rRNA from 1 species
UCGGAAUAUAGCCCAGCACUGAAUCCCGUCGUUUUUAAGGCGGCGGGAGAUGUGGUGUUCGGGAGGUUCCGCUUUCUCGUCGUGGUCGCUCCUGUCCAAGUUGGCCUUGAACGGGGCCGUUUGCCCCCACAGGGUGCCAGGCCCGUAGCGACGGAGGACCGUGGCGAGAGGGACUCUCCUUAGAGUCGGGUCGCUUGAGAGUUCAACCCUAAGUGGAUGGUAAACUCCAUCUAAGGCAAAUAUUACCGCGAGACCAAGAAAAAACAAGUUCCGUAUUUUACA